rnacentral:rRNA from 1 species
GAUGAACGCUGGCGGCGUGCCUAAUACAUGCAAGUCGAGCGAACGGACGAGAAGCUUGCUUUUCUGAUGUUAGCGGCGGACGGGUGAGUAACACGUGGAUAACCUACCUAUAAGACUGGGAUAACUUCGGGAAACCGGAGCUAAUACCGGAUAAUAUUUUGAACCGCAUGGUUCAAAAGUGAAAGACGGUCUUGCUGUCACUUAUAGAUGGAUCCGCGCUGCAUUAGCUAGUUGGUAAGGUAACGGCUUACCAAGGCAACGAUGCAUAGCCGACCUGAGAGGGUGAUCGGCCACACUGGAACUGAGACACGGUCCAGACUCCUACGGGAGGCAGCAGUAGGGAAUCUUCCGCAAUGGGCGAAAGCCUGACGGAGCAACGCCGCGUGAGUGAUGAAGGUCUUCGGAUCGUAAAACUCUGUUAUUAGGGAAGAACAUAUGUGUAAGUAACUGUGCACAUCUUGACGGUACCUAAUCAGAAAGCCACGGCUAACUACGUGCCAGCAGCCGCGGUAAUACGUAGGUGGCAAGCGUUAUCCGGAAUUAUUGGGCGUAAAGCGCGCGUAGGCGGUUUUUUAAGUCUGAUGUGAAAGCCCACGGCUCAACCGUGGAGGGUCAUUGGAAACUGGAAAACUUGAGUGCAGAAGAGGAAAGUGGAAUUCCAUGUGUAGCGGUGAAAUGCGCAGAGAUGUGGAGGAACACCAGUGGCGAAGGCGACUUUCUGGUCUGUAACUGACGCUGAUGUGCGAAAGCGUGGGGAUCAAACAGGAUUAGAUACCCUGGUAGUCCACGCCGUAAACGAUGAGUGCUAAGUGUUAGGGGGUUUCCGCCCCUUAGUGCUGCAGCUAACGCAUUAAGCACUCCGCCUGGGGAGUACGACCGCAAGGUUGAAACUCAAAGGAAUUGACGGGGGCCCGCACAAGCGGUGGAGCAUGUGGUUUAAUUCGAAGCAACGCGAAGAACCUUACCAAAUCUUGACAUCCUUUGACAACUCUAGAGAUAGAGCCUUCCCCUUCGGGGGACAAAGUGACAGGUGGUGCAUGGUUGUCGUCAGCUCGUGUCGUGAGAUGUUGGGUUAAGUCCCGCAACGAGCGCAACCCUUAAGCUUAGUUGCCAUCAUUAAGUUGGGCACUCUAAGUUGACUGCCGGUGACAAACCGGAGGAAGGUGGGGAUGACGUCAAAUCAUCAUGCCCCUUAUGAUUUGGGCUACACACGUGCUACAAUGGACAAUACAAAGGGCAGCGAAACCGCGAGGUCAAGCAAAUCCCAUAAAGUUGUUCUCAGUUCGGAUUGUAGUCUGCAACUCGACUACGUGAAGCUGGAAUCGCUAGUAAUCGUAGAUCAGCAUGCUACGGUGAAUACGUUCCCGGGUCU